rnacentral:rRNA from 1 species
UCCACCAACCACCCUGAAUCGCAUCUCAUCUGAUUUGGGAAGCUAAGGAGGGUCAGACCUGGCUUGUCCUUGGAUGGGUGACCACCAUGGAAGACACAAGAGGAU